GUGCCAGCAGCCGCGGUAAUACAGAGACUGCAAGCGUUAUUCGGAUUCACUGGGCGUAAAGGGUGCGCAGGCGGCCGAGUGUGUUAGAUGUGAAAUCCCGGGGCUCAACCCCGGAACUGCGUCUAAAACUACUUGGCUAGAGUAUUGGAGAGGGUAUCGGAAUUCACGGUGUAGCAGUGAAAUGCGUAGAUAUCGUGAGGAACACCAGAGGCGAAGGCGGAUACCUGGACAAUUACUGACGCUCAGGCACGAAAGCGUGGGGAGCAAAAGGGAUUAGAUACCCCUGUAGUCC
rnacentral:rRNA from 1 species